rnacentral:tRNA from 1 species
GCGCAAGUGGCGAAAUCGGCAGACGCGCCAGCUUGAGGGGCUGGUGGUAGCAAUACCGUGCAGGUUCAAGUCCUGUCUUGCGCA